AAUGAACGCUGGCGGCAGGCCUAACACAUGCAAGUCGAGCGCGCCUUCGGGUGAGCGGCGGCCGGGUGAGUAACGCGUGGGAAUAUGCCCUUCUCUACGGAAUAGUCCUGGGAAACUGGGGGUAAUACCGUAUACGCCCUUUGGGGGAAAGAUUUAUCGGGGAAGGAUUAGCCCGCGUUGGAUUAGGUAGUUGGUGGGGUAAUGGCCUACCAAGCCGACGAUCCAUAGCUGGUUUGAGAGGAUGAUCAGCCACACUGGGACUGAGACACGGCCCAGACUCCUACGGGAGGCAGCAGUGGGGAAUCUUAGACAAUGGGGGCAACCCUGAUCUAGCCAUGCCGCGUGAGUGAUGAAGGCCUUAGGGUUGUAAAGCUCUUUCAGCUGGGAAGAUAAGGACGGUACCAGCAGAAGAAGCCCCGGCUAACUCCGU
rnacentral:rRNA from 1 species